rnacentral:misc_RNA from 1 species
AAGUCGUAACAAGGUAACCGUAGGUGAACCUGCGGUUGGAUCAUUAACAAAACUAGAAAGGUUGUCCAAAAGACAGCCUGUUCUUGACACUAUGUGAACUGUUUAUGUCUCUGGUGGGUUAAAAUAGUAGUUCGCUACUAGGCUUAGGUCACCCACUGCAAACCUAGACUUUAUAAUAUCUUUUGUCUUAGAAAAUGUUUAUUAAAUCUUAAACAACUUUUGGCAACGGAUCUCUAGGCUCUC